AUACAGAGGGUGCGAGCGUUAAUCGGAAUUACUGGGCGUAAAGCGCGCGUAGGCGGCUACUUAAGUCAGAUGUGAAAUCCCCGGGCUCAACCUGGGAACUGCAUCUGAUACUGGUAAGCUAGAGUUUUGGAGAGGGAAGUAGAAUUUCAGGUGUAGCGGUGAAAUGCAUAGAGAUCUGAAGGAAUACCAGUGGCGAAGGCGACUUCCUGGCCAAAAACUGACGCUGAGGUGCGAAAGCGUGGGUAGCAAACGGGAUUAGAUACCCUAGUAGUCC
rnacentral:rRNA from 1 species